AGAGUUUGAUCCUGGCUCAGGACGAACGCUUGCGGCGUGCCUAAGAAAUGCAAGUCGAACGGACAUCUUCGGAUGUUAGUGGCGAACGGUCGCGUAACACGUAGGCAACCUGCCCAGAAGUGGGGGACAACAGCUUGAAAGAGCUGCUAAUACCGCAUGUGGUUAACGGUAGGCAUCUUUUGUUAACUAAAGCUUUAUGCGCUUCUGGAUGGGCUUGCGGCCUAUCAGGUAGUUGGUGGGGUAAUGGCCUACCAAGCCGACGACGGGUAGCUGGUCCGAGAGGACGAUCAGCCGGAUUGGACUGAGAUACGGCCCAUACUCCUACGGGGGGCAGCAAUUAUGAAUCUUGCGCAGUGGGGGCAACCCUGACGCAGCGACGCCGCGUGCGGGAUGAAGGCAUUCGUGUCGUAAACCGCUUUUUACGGGAAAAAAGAAUUUGACGGUACCCGUCGAAUAAGCCCCGGCUAACUACGUGCCAGCAGCCGCGGUAAUACGUAGGGGGCGAGCGUUGUCCGAAGUUACUGGGCGUAAAGCGCGCGUAGGCGGCUAUUUUAAGUUCGGGGUGAAAGGUUCAGCGCUCAACGCGAACAGUGCC
rnacentral:rRNA from 1 species